AUUGAACGCUGGCGGCAGGCCUAACACAUGCAAGUCGAACGGUAACAGGAAGCAGCUUGCUGCUUUGCUGACGAGUGGCGGACGGGUGAGUAAUGUCUGGGAAACUGCCCGAUGGAGGGGGAUAACUACUGGAAACGGUAGCUAAUACCGCAUAACGUCGCAAGACCAAAGAGGGGGACCUUAGGGCCUCUUGCCAUCGGAUGUGCCCAGAUGGGAUUAGCUAGUAGGUGGGGUAACGGCUCACCCAGGCGACGAUCCCUAGCUGGUCUGAGAGGAUGACCAGCCACACUGGAACUGAGACACGGUCCAGACUCCUACGGGAGGCAGCAGUGGGGAAUAUUGCACAAUGGGCGAAAGCCUGAUGCAGCCAUGCCGCGUGUAUGAAGAAGGCCUUCGGGUUGUAAAGUACUUUCAGCGGGGAGGAAGGGAGUAAAGUUAAUACCUUUGCUCAUUGACGUUACCCGCAGAAGAAGCACCGGCUAACUCCGUG
rnacentral:rRNA from 1 species